rnacentral:piRNA from 1 species
UGGAAAUUCAUUUUUCAGUAAUACUGGUGU